rnacentral:rRNA from 1 species
UACGAAGGGGGCUAGCGUUGUUCGGAAUUACUGGGCGUAAAGCGCACGUAGGCGGAUUUGUAAGUCAGGGGUGAAAUCCCGGGGCUCAACCUCGGAACUGCCUUUGAUACUGCAAGUCUCGAGUCCGGAAGAGGUGAGUGGAAUUCCUAGUGUAGAGGUGAAAUUCGUAGAUAUUAGGAAGAACACCAGUGGCGAAGGCGGCUCACUGGUCCGGUACUGACGCUGAGGU